AGAAGUUUAGGAUAAAAAGUCCAAGAGCCUUCAAAGCCCUAAGUAAACAACAUUUGUUUAACUUCUG
rnacentral:tRNA from 1 species